CAUUUAUUGAAUAAGGAGUCCUUUCUCCAUUGUUUAUUUUUGUCAACUUUGUUGAUCAGAUGGCUGUAAGUGUGAGGCUUUAUCUCUGGUCAAUGACAGUGUCUUAUCCUUCAUUUUUUCCUUAGGCUAGAACAUAGUAGCUGGCACAGAGUAGGUUCUUGUUAAAUACUUUUUGAUUGAAUAGAUGACUAAAGAGUCUCCCCUUUCGUUUAUAUGCAGAAGUGUAUGUGUGUGUUAUGUUAUUAUAUGUGCAAAUAUGUAUACGUACUUGUAAAUAUAUUAUGAUUGGAUAUCCACACAACUUUGUGUGUCUGUGUGUGUGUGUCUAAGUAUACAUGUGUAUGCAUAUGUUCACUCUCCUUCUCCUGAGUGGGUGACACAAACUAUUAGGUGGCAUUUGUGGAGAUGCUGCAUGCAAUGUUUGUGGUGAAAGUGGAGAAGGGAAAUAAAGGAUAAUUGCCACUUUAGUGGCCAAACCAUGGAAUAUGUGGUCCAAGCAGCUUUCAUUCAGAAACUCUUGCUAUGGAAGGUGACUGCUAUGGAGGUGGGGGGUCCAGAAUUAUUUGUAUCUAUGUGAACACCACACUGCUCUUGGGUUCAGGGUGUUGGGAGGACAGGGUGGAAUGAGUUUUGACACAAAUGGACAGCCUUGGUGGACAAUGGUUCCCAUAGACCUGAUCUCUUCAAAUCCAAUUAAAAUUUGUGUGCCCAGUUUUCACUUUUCAUUUUCUCUUUAAUCCUUUGAGGCCAGUUCCUGCUGCACACAGGGGUCUCUUUCUAACCCGUUAAGUCUCUGCCUUCUAUUUCUGUGGGGUUUUUCCUCUCAUUCUCUGGCAUGUGUGGGCAAACAGAAACUUAACUGCUGGCACUCUCUCUUUCAGCUUGAUUCAUGGGAUGCUGUCUGGGGUCCACCUUUAUUGGCAAAGGAGUUUCAUGACCAUGAUGUUAUGUCUGCUCAGUUGGAAGACCCCAACAUGAAUCAAGACAUCAGAGGAAAUGAGUGCUGAUCCUCCAAGAAGACAAGCUCAUGAAGUCAUCAUCAGUGACGGCAAAGGAAAUUAAGGAAAACCAAGGUCAGAGUUCUAAGAGUACAAUCAGUGUUUGUUUAUUCAUUCAUCAUUCAUUCAAUAAAUGUUCACUGGGUCCUACACUGAGAAUUAGCCAUAGUUCCUUCCCUUAAGAAAUUUGCAGUCUAACCAUCAAGAUUGACCUAUGGACAAAAAGAAAGACAAAAGUAAGCCUAGGAUGCUAUGAAAAACCCAGAUAAGAUGAAUCUAAAAUACAGGAAGAUCAGAGAGGAAGCAAAUUGCACUGAUAAAGUGCAUGGGCUUACAGUGAGAUAAACUUGAUUUUAAAUCUCCUCUCUACCACUUAACUACAUAAGCCACUUACUAAUCGAGCAUCCAUUUCUUCAGUUGGACAUUGGACAUAAUACCUAUGCAGAAUGGUGGUGAUGAUUAAAUAAAGUGAACUUUCUAGCAUAGAAAUUAACUCACUGCAAGUAUUAAAAUGGAAGAUAUUUUAUUAUAUAUUUUAUAUAGAUGGUGCUUAAUGUUAAAUUUUGAAGCAACAAGUAGAAAUUGACUAGAUGAAGGAAAUGAAGCAUGGUGUUCUAGACAAAGAACACAACAUCGUCCAAAGGUCAUGUUAUGCAGUUUGAUGUGGUUGAGGUAAAGGGCUCAUGUGCACAAGUGGUAGAAGCUGAAGUCAGAGUAAAUAGAGGACAAAUCAUGCAGGAUAUCUACCUAAGAAGUCUGAAUUAUUUUCUGAAAUCUAUAUUUAGAUAUUUUAAAAAGAGAAUAACAUGUUUAGAUUUGCAUUUUUUAAAAGUUACUUUGAAGCAACUUGGCAAACUUACCAAGAACCUUUGAUCUAAUAAUUUUACGUCUAGGAAUUUAUAAGGAAAUAAUCAGAGAUUAAGAAAAAAAUUAUGUACAAGAAUUGAAACAUUUUAUAAUAAUGAAAUUGUAAACAAUCUAAAUGUUAAAUAAUUGGGAAAUGAUCAAAUGAAUUAUGACAUAGUCAAUUGAUGUAAUAUUUUAAAGAUUUCAAAUGUAUUCAACAACAUUUAAGGGUAUAGAAAAGCAUGCAUAAUAAAAUGUCAACAAAAAUUUCAAAGCUCAAUACAAUGACCCAGUUUGAGUUUAAAAGAGAGAAAGAAAGAAAAAGAAAUAUCUAUAUGUACAGCCAAACUAUUAGCAGUAGCAGUAUAAAAAAUAUUUUAAACCUGUAGUUACUUCUGUAUAGUGAGAUUAUUGGUGAUUUCUAUUUUUUUUUCAAAAUUUUCUGCAUUUUCCAUAUAAGAAUUAAUGUGUAGCUUUUACAAAUUAAUAAAAUAUUUUUUAAAGUGAUCACCCUGGUAGGUAUUAUACGGAAUAGUUGAAAAAUGGUUUACAUAGGAGAGACAGAAAGAAAUGAACAAUUAGAUGACUAUCAUAAUAAUUCAGGGGAGAAGUGAUGAGAUUUUUAGCCAAGGCAUACCCAGAAGGUAGGGAGAACCAGAUAUGGAUUCUAGAAAUAUGAAGAGUUAGAACUGAGAAGACUAUUGGAUACAGGUGGAAAAAGAACAAAUCAAACAUAUUGCUCAUGUUUCUGUCUUGUUUCUCUCCUAGACUUGGUGGAGUUUGUACUGAUCUCAGAGACAGAGGGAAAACAGGGAAAGGGUAAUUUGGAGGAGAAAGUGGUAGAGAUCAUUACUGUUUUGGAUAUGUUGAACUUGAGGUGUUUGUGGGAUCUUAAGGUGGACAAAUCUGGUAAAGAGUUGGAUAAAUAGGUCUGAAGUUCAUUAUUCAUGUAUUCAUUCAAAUAUAUUUACUGAGCAACUACUAUGUGCCAGACAAAUACAAAUUCAGAGUUGUGUUUGGACACAGAGCAAUGUACAAAAGAGAAUAAUGCUUGCAUUCCAGUUUGGAGCUGGAACUUCCAGCUCACAAUAGACAUCUGGGAUUGGAGAUAGGCUUUUAGGAGUCAAAAACUCAGAGAUGGUAGGGGGAGAUAAGCCUUGAGAGGUGGAUGAAACAGAUGGCCCAGUGUGGGGGGCUGUAAAAUGAGAAGAGUGGCUUUAGUUUGGAUCAAGUUCAGACAGGCUAUUUCUUUUCUAUAGCUCAGAGGAUUGAACUGCUUUGUUAAAUAUCUGCUAACCCCUUAACUAUGAUAACUACUUUCUGAUUAUACUCAAUUCCCUUCUGUGAGAGGUGAACAAAUCACUAUCUGUCUCCUAGACUUGGUUGCCACACCUCUAAACUAAGAAAACGAUAAAUUUUACCUGCUUCAAUAUGAUCUUCCUGCCACAGGGCCUCUGCACACUCUGUGUCUUCUGCCUAGCAUGCUCUUCCCUGUGACCUUCCCCUCCUUCAUUCCUUCUUGUCAUUCAUAUCUCUGCUCAAUGAACACUUCUGCGGAGAAGACUUUCCUGAUCUUCCCUGUAUAAAGCAGGAUGAACCCAAGCCCCUAUGACUCUAGCACCCUAUUCUAAUCAUUUCUCUUUCUGAUAUUUCUCUUAUUAUUUUUACUUAUUAUUGGUUCUUCUAACCCCCAACUAGAAUGUGUGAUAAGAGUAUGGAUCAAGCUUGUUUUGUUCUUUGUUUUAGUUCUGACUCCUGGAACAGGGCCUGACACAUAGUAGCAAGAAAUAGUUUUGGGAUUAUUUUAAAUUUGAAUUUUGAAUUAUUUGAAGAAUUUUAAACAAAUAAGACCAGCUUUAGGAGUAAACAUUAAAAAACAAUUAUUGAGCAUUUCUAGGUGCCAAGCACCUUGUUAAAGACUGAUGAUAUAGAACAAAGUCACAGUUGUUUCUUAUUUGCAAAGAGCUUUACAUCUCAUGAGAGAUACAGACACGUAUGCAGCCCUUAUAAGGGAGCCCUUAUGAGGGAGUGAGUUGGUACAGGGAAGGAUCUCAAGAUGUGUUUGUAUUCAUGGAGUCUGGAACUAGAUAGUCUCAGGUUCUAAAUUGGAACACUGGGAUUUGGGAUUCAGGUGCAAACUUGAUAUUCUGACCCACAGGCUCGAGUGAUGAAUCAAAAGAUGGGACAGGAGAGUGAGUCUCCUUUUAAAUCUUUGCUAGAUUUUGAGCUUUUUAUCUUUCUGGUUCACAUUGUCCAUCCAGAGCUGUAUAUACACAAACAUAGUAGGUACUCAGUAAAUAUUUGUUGAAUAAACAAAAACCUCAUUUCAGAGUGAAAUAAAAUUCAGACUUGGUGUAUACAUGUAAUGGAGUAUCAUUCAGCCACAAAAAGGAUAUACAUUUUGACACAUGUCACUCCAUGGAUGAACUUUGACGACAUUAUGUUUAGUAAAGUAAGCCAGUCACCAAAAAGACAAAUACUAUAUGAUUUUCCUUAUAUGAGAUAUCCAGAACAGUCAAACUCGUAUAAACAGAAAGUAGAAUGGUUGCUGCCAAGGGCUGGGGAAAAGAGGGAAUGGAAAGUUGUCAUUUAAUGGGAUUAGGGUUUGAAUUUUGCAAGAUAAAAAAUCCCAGAGAUUGGUUGCACAACAGUGUGACUAUUACUUAGCUUAACACUACCCAACUGUACACUUAAAAAUGGUUAAGACGGUAAAUUUUUACGUUGUGGGUAUUUUACUAAGCUUAAUAAUAAUAAUAAUAAUAAUAAUAAUAAUAAUAAUAAAAUUCAGAGUGUGUGGCUGAUUAUUUAGCUGCACCUGGAUCUUAUAUGUAAAUUUAUAUUGAGCAGUUUUAGAUACAACUUACAAAUGUGUGUUAGAGUACACAAUAUUUCUUUUUUAUUUUCUUUUUCCCCUGCAGAGCAGAGUCUUGCUCUGUCACCCAGGAAGGAAUGCAGUGGCGCAAUCUCGGCUCACUGCAACCUUCGCCUCCCGGGUUCAAGCUAUUCUCCUGCCUCAGCCUCCCGAGUAGCUGGGAUUACAGGUGCCUGCCACCACGCCCAGAUGAUUUUUGUAUUUUUAGUAGAGAUGGGGUUUCACCAUGUUGGCCAGGCUAGCCUCGAACUCCUGACCUCAUGAUCCGCCCUUCUUGGCCUCCCACAGUGCUGGGAUUACAGGUGUGAGUCACCGCGCCCGGCCAGAGUACACAAUUUUUCAAAAUUCUCUUCUGCAGGCAGGUGAACCAUACAAGUUUGAAGCCCCUUAACACAGACAAUUCUUGAAGAGCUGGCCUGUAAAUGGAAGCUGAGAAAUGGGUUAAGUAGCUGGAGGAAGAUAGGGAGCCAAAAGAGACUCUUGUUUUUGGUUUGCUUUUGUUUUUAAGAUGGUGGAAAUGGUAGUGUCUGUGAGCUGAGGCCAAUGAUCCAGACAGAGGAAAAGUGAUGGUGCAGAAGAGAAGAGCUCUGGGAGGGUUUUCAGAGCUGUGAAGGGCUUGGGCGUCGAAUGCAGGUGGAGGUUCGGCCUAUGGCAGGGCAAGACAGCUUUCAUGCGAAAUCACAGGUCGGAGGGCAGAACAGGAUGGCCACCAGGCAAGCCACGCUACAAAUCAGGUGGGUGCCUGGGGAAAGCUUGCAGAAGUUCUGGCCUGAUUGCGUCUAUUUCCUCAAUAAAACAGCAACAAAGUUAGCAGCAGUGAGGAAGGAUGGGGGAGCAGAGGGGGGAGCUGAGAAAAGAGAAAAUGUAAAGUAUUUGUUUAGAAGAGUGGAAGAGAAUCCACUGGGAAAAUGUAGUAGGGAUGUAAGUCAGCAUUAACCACCCAUUUGGGGUUAGUGUCAAGAAUUUAUUGGGAAUAGUCAGCAAGGUGGUGUGCCUUGCCCGGCAGACGCAGGUGAGGGUGGACAAGAGUUGAAUUUAACCUGCUUGGGGUUUGGCAGGUGCGUACACCUAUGGGUUCGAGUGGCAAGGGAGUUUAGACCGAAUAAUUAAAAUGACGGAGCAUGGACUUUAUGCUGAGGAAGCAGAGAAACCGAUGGCAUAGGGAUGGGUGGGGGGCAGUGAAAAGGCGGGUAGGAUCAACGGAUUGUUGUGUCCCUAUGGGCUGUCGAAUGCUGCGGCUGGAGUGUUGACUUUUAUUUUGUAGAUUUCAGCAUAUAUACAUAUACGCUGAAAUUAUAUAUUACAUGCUAUAUAUGUUAUUAUAUGUUAUAUAUUAUCUGCAUAUAUACACACACAUAUUCCCAGAGGAAGUUAAACUUAACCUGGUCUCAUAUAUACUACACAUAUAAAAUAUGUAUAUACACAUAUGUAUGUAUACACACAUAGACAUGUAUACACACAUAUAUACAUAUGUAUAUAUAAAAAUAUAUACAGAUAUUUUAAAUUUCAUAUAUAUUUCCCGUCCCCUCCAAGAGCCCUUUCUGACCCCUGACCCCCUUCUUUAGCAGAACCCAAAUGGUUUCCGUGGGUGGAACAUCUCCCUGCGUUUCUGAGGACAUCAGCGCACGUGGUUUCUUUCCCGGCCGCCGCAGCCCACUUGGUCGGUUUCCUCCUAGUUUUGGCCUGGUGCCCUCCCCGCGGGGCUCUGCCGGGUCUGCGGGUCGGGGCCGUCCGUCCUUUCACCCUGGAGGAGAGAAAGCAGAGAUGGGAAGCUUGCGCGCUCGGGCGGGGCCAGUCCACCGAGCCCGACGAGGCUCGGACGGCCCCGGAGGUGGGCGCGCCUCGGCCGUUCCUCCGCGGCGGGGGCUGCUCCGGACGCCCCACGUCUCGGGCCUGGGAUUCAGCCUGUGAGGUGGGGGCGGCCGGGGCGGCGGCUGCCGGGAGGGGCUCAUUGUUCUGCCGGCCGCUUUGACUUCAUUUUCUGCUUUUCAUCCCAGGCCGGGACGGUUUAGAAUGCAAAUGCGGGCUGCUUUUGUAGCUGUGCGUUUGUCUGGGAGCCGUGCGUUUGUCUGGGGUGAGAUCACAGCAAAAGGGUUUUGUUUGGCUUUUUAAAUUCUUCUGGGGAGAGCAAAAGAAGCUGGAGGAGCGCUGGGCGCAGAAGACCUCCCGGGCGGGAAGGCGGGGCAGGCAUGGGCCCAAUGGGAGCAGCCGUCGGCUUCUGCAGGCCUGGUUUGGAAAGGAACCGGGUCAGAAGGGUGUUGUUGAACAUUAACUCCUUGUGGCCUGGCGGAUGGGGAGUUGGGGGUUUCCAAGCUGCUCACCCCAGAACAUGCAGUCCACUAAUACUGUAUUUCGUGCUUCCUUUGUGCCACACCCUGGGGACAUUUCCAAAGAGAAAGGUGACGUCCAGCCCUUUCACGUGACUGCAUCUAAGUGUCCUCUGCCAGAAGUGGAUAUUCGGGCACUUCAUCCUCACGACCCUGUGUUAUGAGGACUCUGAGGAUCAGAGAGGCUAAGUGAAUCACCUGAGGAAGAGCCAGUCUUUGAAAUUGAGGGGUCCUGCAGAGAUAAAUGUGACAGAAAGCUGUUUCUUCUAUGAAAUGAAAAUGACAUCCCCUGCCCAAGAGCAGUGGUAUAAUAAUUCCAUAAGAUAAUGUAUUUAAAAUCAUUCAAGGUUUGCUGAUAAGCCAUUAGCUACAACACCAAAGGUACAAGGCAUGAGAGAAAAAGCUGGUAACUUGGAUUUCAUUAACAUUAAAAAAUUCUGCUUUGUGAAAGACACUAUUGAGACAGUCAAAAGGCAAGCCAUAGAAUGGGAGAAAAUAUUUGCAAAACACAUGUCUGAGAAAGGACUUAUAUCCAAUAUAUACAAAAGACAUAUCAACCCAACAAUAAGAAAACAAACAAUCCAAUUAAAAAGUGAGCAAAAGGUGCAAUCAGACACCUCACCAAAUAAGAUGUACAGAAGGGAAACAAUCAUGUGAAAAGUUGAUCAACAUAAUUUGUCGUUAGGGAAUUGCAAGUUAAAACAACCACAAGAUAUCACUACACACCUAUUAGAAUGGCCAAAAUCCAAAACACUGACAAUACUCAAUGCUGAUGAGGAUGUGGAGCAAUAGGAACUUUCAUUCAUUGCUUGUGGGAAUGCAAAAUGGUAUAGCCACUUGAGAAAACAGUGUGGCAGUUUCUUACAAAGCUAAAUCUAAUCCUUCUCUAUGAUCUAGCAAUAUACUCCUAGGUAUUUAUCCAACUGAUUUGAAAACGAAUGUUCAAACAAAAACUUGCACACUAUUGUUUAUAGCAGCUUUAUUUUAAUAAUUGCCAAAAACUGAAACAAAACAAAACAACGAAACAAAAUGUCCUUCAAUAAGUGAAUUGGUGGACAAAUGGUGGUACAUAUACACAAUGGAAUACUAUUUCAUGAUUCAAAACAUAAGGUGCUAUCAAGCUGUGAGAGGAUAUGAAUGAAUCUUAAAUGUGUAUUGCUAAAUGAAGAAAGAGUCUGAAAAGGCUGCAUAGUGUACAAUUCCAAGUGUAUGCCAUUCUAGAAACAGCAAAACUGUAAUGGGAGUAAAAAG